rnacentral:lncRNA from 1 species
CGAGGGCGAGCGCGGCGGAAGUGCUCGCGACGAAGCAGCCGCCGAGCAGCGGGGUGUGAGCGGGAGAGGUGCGGAGAGGAGUGCGGAGCCGGUGAGCUCGGAGCCGCCCUUCGAGUGUGGAACGCGUGGUUCUCCGCCGGAAAGUUUCUCCGAGGUGUGAGAGAGCCGCCACCUGUGCUCCGUCGGUCAAGUAAACUACUGAAAAACUACAUAAACACCAUAAAUCAGUCCUUCUGACCAACCGCAGAACACCAGCAGCUGCUGAAGUCCUGGUGCAUAUAAACCUGUGGUGAAGUCAGCUUUCCACAUUUCUGCAUACAAUUCUGAAGUGGAGCAUUUUAAGGAACCAAAAGAGACCACUCCUGACACUGGAACUUAGCAGAUAUUUUUCUUUCUUCCACUUGCCUUUGUAUGAAGAAAAUAAUGAAAGAACUGUUCUGCCAAGAGAGAGAAGACUGAGCUGUCAAGUCAUAUGAGCAACCUGAGGAAAGUACUGCUGAAAGAUGUGUAUAGUAAAGGCUUCAGCUGAACAAACACAUGGUAUCACAGUAGUUCUUUAGGCAUCUAGCAGAGAUUCUUAACAGUAGAGUCACCUGCAGCAGAACUGCUGCCCCAGGCUCUGGGGGUUGCUGCUCAGCUGUGGCCUCCUACUUUCCGUCUUUUCCUCUACCUUGUUUUCUCAAAUACUGGGCAAGAUGCACAGGACUCACCAAUAUACAGUUGGAGUAAUGGAGCUGCUGCAUGUCUGAGGAAUGAAUCUUGGUUCAAACAGUGUCUGUAGCAGAACUGGGACCAGAGUUCUUGAUCUUCACUCUUCAGACUGUUGCUCCGUAUGCUCAACUGUUUUGUACACUACUUUGUUUGGGUCACCACUACUUGAGAAUAUAAUAUGGGAGAUUUUUCUGCUUCAAGAGUGCAUUUUUCUGCAUACGAUUUUUCUGCACAUGGCUACACCACUUAUUUCAUACUGUGAUGCUCCUGAUGGAGGAAGAUGGAGAUGGCACUGGAUUCUGUGACAGAAGGAAAGAAUGCAGGAAAUAACUCCCCAGUUCACUUGAUUUUUUACCUGAUGAUUUACAAGGGUGACCUCCACAGCACUGACGGCUUCUGCCUGGGCUUGAAACACUAGUUUUGAUACAAAGACCCUUAUAGUUAAACGACACACCAUAAAAGAAGGUAUAGCAAGAUCUUCUUGGAAAAAUACGCCAUCGCAAUGGCAGAAGUCAAAACCCUUCACCACUGCUAUUCAUCUACAAAUGGAAAUCAUGCAGCCUCCCUGAAAUAAAGACCUAUUAAGAAAUCAUCAUUCAUCACUAGCCCUCAUCAACCCAGGCGGCUGAUAAUCGAGGUUCUCUCUAACCUCUGUGUCAAAGUAUAAUUACUUGGAAGGUUCUGAACUGAGAUAGUGUCUUUCUCUUCAAAUAUUCUAACAAAAUGGCAAUUUAAAAUGGGCUUGGACAUGGAAAUAGCUCCAGGCACCACAAUGCUGACCUCUCCGUUGGCACAGGGAGUGAAUGAAUGAGUGCACUCAUACUUCUGAAAAUAAAAUAUUAGCAUUCUCCAAGCAUCAAAAUAGCACGGCUACAGGAACAAGCAGGAAAGCCCCCAAGAAGCUCAGGGGCCUUUUGCUGAGGGCCCUCACCAAGCUAUGCUGAGGACGCCCUGGCCUCACUAGACCCCAGAGCAGUGGCACUCCUCAUAAGGAUGCUGCAUAGGCAAACUCACACUACUGCCUGUAGCUGGUUCCUCUUAGGAUGUAACAGCAAAGAAAGCCUCUACUUGUACACCUUAUUUGAUAACGAAGAAUGUUGCCUAUGCUUUCCCCAAAUUAUUAUGACAGUAAUGUGAAGAUUUAAGCAUUCCUACUAUACCUCUGUAGCUGCUUCUCAGCAUGAAAUGCCAGAGCAGAGACUCAACACCACAGAAGACUGCACAAAUAAUAACAAAAAAAUAUAUAGAUUCAGCUGGGUUGCACUUCUGUAUAGACACUGCAGUUUACUCCCUCUCAGUGUCUGGAGAUGCGAUUAAGAUGACAAAGAGGAUCAAGAGGAAGGUCACUAGCUACUGUCAUCUCUCACUCAGAAAACACACAAACACAAAAUGUGUGAGAGUAGAAGUCAUUAGGCUUGUAGCAGAACUACAGCUGUGGGUGAGAGAAGGGAGAGCAGCCUUUAGAAAAGAGGUAGUAUGUGUAUAAUACUGCUUUCCCUCCAGGCACCUGAACUUCAUGAAGUACAAAGCUACCAACACUGACCGAGGAGUAGCUGAAAGGGGCCCUUGGUAAAAAGCACCUGUAUUUUUGAAGUCAAGACCUUGUAUCACAUUUUCAGACAACUAAAUCUCCAUGUAAUGCUCAUGAAACGCGUAUCUACACAGGGUAUCUUGCAGUUCAAGGCAUUAAUAAACCCACAGCAAGCUGCCAUCUGGGAAAAACUGUGUUUUGCGAACCUGUGCAGGAGGACACAAAGGAAAUGUGCAGUACAUAUUUUCAGAGUUCUAAUUUCUAACUCUGGUCAAGAGUGCUCUCAGUUAUGAACAGAUAAGAUUUUUACUCAAACUUUAAAAAAGACUAAAAAGUAAUUAUCUGUAUUCUGCUGUAGGUAAAUCCAUACUACCUACAUAAAUACCUACAGCUUCUUAUGCAACUAAUAUGCAAAGUAAUUUAGCAUCGCUGAAAUUUUCGAGACUUCCUGUGCACUCACAUUGAGUAAGGAACGUAAGAGUAUAUUUUAACACAUUCCUCACGUACGCAACAAUACAUCAAUGUGACAGUCUCACCCAUUCAUAUACACAUUUAUCCGUAUGCUUCUAAAGUAAGCAUUCUAAAGUAAGCACUGACAUUCUAGAGAAAAAAAUUCAAGAUUUGUAUCUUUAUAUUUUUGACACCCACCUGCUAUGUGUUACAGUGUUUUAUUAAGUUUACAUUAAAACAAAACUAUUUGCAAUCUGACACUAAAAAAAAUCAGUUUUUGUACUGAUGAGACUCACAGGACUGCAAUGAAACAUACAACAGAAGGGAAAUCAAUUGAUAAAUUAUUGUAUUCAGGACCUCACAUAAAGAGAAAUUCUCUAGGAGAAAAUAAUGUGGUUGACUUUUUCAAGCUCCACUUAACUUAACCCUUAUUUACAGUAGCAUCCUGAAAAAUGAAUGCUACUGUAUUUCAGAAACCAACUGGUUUUCCAACCACCUUAGAAAAGGUAAAAAAAUAUAUAUACAUUUCAAUUUACAAGCCGGUAUUCUUGAAAGCAUCAAUCUUGAUGAAUCCUUUGCUCUGCUAAGCAUGCUGUAUCUGAACAAUAAUAGUUCAUCAACAGAAGAGUGACUGAUAUAAAUAAGAGAGAAAAAAAUAUGCCUUGAAAGAACUUCUCUUCAUCUCGUAUCUGUAAGAAUUGCAUGAUAAAGGACUGGAUAGAAUUUAGCAAUAAAAGCAAGAGUUACAGAGAGUACUUGCUUCUCAAAAGCAGACACCAGCUACCACUUCAACCUGAAGGUGCCUAUGCCCUCCCUAACCUUGAAUCCCCUAAGCUCUGAGGCUUACACCUGUGUACAUCUGGUGCUGCCACUCUCCUCAAUCAGAACAGUGAAUCCUGCUCAGUUUCUCAUUACCAAAAGGAAAAAAAAAAAAAAAAAAAAGAAUUGUAUUGAUUUUUCUCAGGCUGUGGAUCCCAGCUAGACAAGAUGUCUCUUAGCAAUCUUGGCUAAAGGUCUACCUCUACCACUGAAGAGGCUUUUCUUCAUUCCUUCCCUAGCAGCUCUCCCUGCUUUUUCCGUUCCUCUAUCUUGAAUUCCCUUUGUGACUGGAGAAAAUAUAGGGACAAAGGUGGAAUCCAUUAUUAAUUCAACUUAGGUAAUAAAUCACGUUAUCACAAUUAAACAGUGAGAAUAUGCUGGGGCAGAAAGGCAGCACAGUCCUAUUCUAAAUAAAUACCAGUCCUCCACUGCCAGUGCUUGGAAACAAGGUGCACAUCAGAGCCUGUUCCCAGAUUUGUUGUGGUACUGGUGGCCUCCUAUUCCAGGGCUCAUACAUGGUUGCAAUCAGCUGUACACUGAGAAAUAAUUUACUCCAGUAGCAUCCCUUUUUGGCAUGGUGGUCACAGAAGGUGAAGGUGUUUUUUGGACAACUGGAGAGAAACAUGAACAAGUACCAGCUUGAAGGUGAAAAGCAAUUCAUGUGCUUGGCACGGUGAGAUUUCCCAGAGGAGAGAUACUGCAGCAUGACAAAAACAAGAGUUUCAUGGAGGAUCCUUAAACUUUGGGGGAAACUACUGGCAAAAUGGGAAAGAAAGAAAAAAAAAAAAGGAAGAAAAGAGAACUCUUCUGGGUAGAAAACAAGAUUGAAAUUAUAUCUGUAGUAGGAAGACUGAUUUGGAAUUCACUACUUAGUGAUGGCUUCCUGUUCCCUGGCCUGUUUUGAGGCAGACUUUAUCUGCUGCUCUAAGCUUGCUCUGAGGAUGCCUACCCACUUUCAGGAGUCACAUGGUUCUGCCUGUCCUUCAGGCACAAAAUGGUGUUCAUGCUAUUCAGAGAUCAGACACUGCUGAAAUCCGAUGAAUUAAUAGUUUAAUUCGACCAAACAACCCUUCAAGGGGCUUUCAUUUCAUGGAGGAAUGUAUAUAAAGGGUUUGCUGCUUUUGAAAUAUUUGGUUUGUUUAAGAAAGAAGCACUUGCUUUUAAACACCCUUUGCUGUACUAGGUCACUACAUAGCUUUUCCAGUGGGUUCCUACCCUCUGCCCAGAAAUCAUGUGUCAAUUAAACCUUAAUUCUUUCAUCUCAUUUGUAUUGAGCAGUGCCCAGAGAAACAGUUAUUUUAUAUGAAGUCUUACUGCAAUUCAUUAUGGAUAUGCACAUUGGGUUUUUGUUUUCUUUAGAGCAAACUAAAAUAUUUUAAAUUAAUUUAGAUUUAAAUAUGCAUUUGCUUUUCAGACACAGAAGAAAAACACCUUUAAGGCAGCCUUCCAUUUAAAAAAAAGAUAAAUCGAUUUCGGGUGCAGUAUCUGUCUGAAACAUGGCUAAUUUUCAGUGCAAAGAAUGCUCAUAAAAAUGUCUAGGUAGGUUUAACUUGAAAAGUAGUGGUGCAAAGCAGUCUAAGAAUACACAUAAUUUAUGUCAUUGCUUUUCUACUUGCCAGAGAAGUAGCCAAGCACAUAAAGGGGGGAAUUUUGAUACAAAACAAAACAGAGUCAAGAACAUGGGCUUCUGAAAUACAGGCAGGAGAACACUUGCGACCUGUAAAGCCAUAGAUGCAGCUCACAAAAUUACCUUUCAGAGUAAUUCUGAAGACUGCUAUUGCAAAUUACAAACCACAGCUCAAUGUCCACCUCAAAAUCUGCCCUUAUUGAAGAAACUUUGAGAACAUGGACCAAGGAGGAACUCAGAGGGGUUCUUGAAAGCCAAAUAUUGAUUUUUCUAGUGUUCAGCAUGCCACGUGGAGAAAGGUAGAUGAGGAUUGCUGGGUGAAAGCACCAGUUUAUCUCUAAGCAAAAGAGAAAAAUGUGGAAACUCCACAAGUCAAAAGGAGUCAUGUGAGAUAAAAAAUACAUAACUUCAUUAUUUGCUCUGAAGUCUUUCAUAUGUAAUGUGUGCAUUCCCACCAGGUAAGGAAAGAUUUUGUCUUUCUGACAUUCAGUGAAAAUGGGCUGUACUUUAUAGUACGUAGUAGGUUACUAAUGGUUUAAGCAUGCAUUUUUUGAGUAGAGGAACAAAACUCCCCUGUCUCCGUUUUCCAGAUUUGUCUGACAGACUUACCGGAACUCUGACAUGUACAUGGCUAUCUCAGACAAACAUGGGACAUUUAUUUAAUUUGUCUGUGUGUGCUGCAAUCUCGUUUCACAGCUGCCAAGGUUAAUUCAAACUAAACAAGUCCUAACAAAUUCAGACAUGUGGCAGUGAUAACCUGUAAUAGUACAUAAAAAUGGAAAAUAAAGGGCUCAUUUUCCUAGAUUUUGGACAGCUAUUUUUUAUUUAAGUUGUAUUUUGUAUAAGUCCACUAUGAUCC